CACUUAGGCCCCGUUUGGGUCCAAGGAAUUGGAAUCUAUUUAAUGGAGUAGGCUAAUUUAUGUUGGAAUGUGGCAUUCCACAACUUUCCAAAGUUUAGAUAUAAGCCUAUCUUAAAUUCAUGGGGUGGGAGAUGGAAAUUGAUUCUAUAGAUUAUGGUUAUUAGAUGGAAUUCAAUUCUUAUAGCACGCUCUUAGACUCGCUUCUCUAUAGUAGAA
rnacentral:lncRNA from 1 species